UACAGAGGGUGCAAGCGUUACUCGGAAUUACUGGGCGUAAGCGGGCGUAGACGGUUAUGUAAGUCGGGUGUGAAAGCCCCGGGCUCAACCUGGGAAUUGCAUUCGAGACUGCAUAGCUAGGGUGCGGAAGAGGGAAGCGGAAUUUCCGGUGUAGCGGUGAAAUGCGUAGAUAUCGGAAGGAACACCAGUGGCGAAAGCGACUUCCUGGUCCAAUACUGACGUUCAUGUGCGAAAGCGUGGGGAGCAAACAGG
rnacentral:rRNA from 1 species